UUCAUCUUUUUCGGGUAACCCCACCGACAGGUUACUGAAAGUUUCCGGCAAUCCUUUAAGAUAAUCUUUUUUCUUUUUCUAUUAAUCAUGAUUAAAAUACUAAACGGAUGAGAUUAAGAAUAGUAAAAACCCAAAAAACACUAAGAUACUCUUCGGGUGCCAACGUACGCCCUACGCAAAUCGUACUUUUAAAAAUCCCCAAAUUAUAAAAUUCCAAAAAAAAAAAAAAACCACCUUUGAAGGGAAGGGUUCUGAGAAAGGAAUCGCACGGAAAUGGAGAUAGUGAAAUAGUGAAAUUGGGGAAGAAGGAAGAAAAGGGCACCCGAUCGAUCAGAGGGAGAUAGAGAGAGAGAGAGAGAGAGAGAUGUAUCAUCCAGAUCCGAAACCCUAGAAGAGAACCCUCAAACGAAAGGAUUUCUGGAAAGCUGACACAAAACAGAGGCGUAGAAAGAUCAGAAAGGGAAAAGAGAAGAAGAAAAACGGCAGUUGUGAAGCAGAGGAACAGAAUACUUCUAUUUCCAGAUCAUAAAAACAAUCGGAACUCAGCAACGAGAAUUGAAUUGUGUGAUCUCUGCAAAUCUCAUUCCAGUUCAGAGAUUCCCUCUACUUCGUUGUUUGUCCAACCGGGAAGACACGGAACGAACGGCCGAACCGGGAAUCGACUAGAACUGGAUCGGACGGGUGACGGGUGACGGGUGACGGGUGACGCGAAAGGAAUACAGUGGUGUAAAUUUUGAUUCAGAUGUACCCACAUCACGCAUUGCGGUUGGUAGGGAACACAACGGCGUCCUGUUUCUGUGAGGUGAUGGCCAUGACUGUGAGGUGCGAACCUCCAUCAUUGAAAUUUUUUUUCUCAAUUUUGACCUUUCCUUCUCACCCACGCUUCCUAUUCCAAUUAAAAUGCCACCUGAUCGGUUUUUCUCUUGGCACGAUAUUGUUCACCUCGGGAUGUCAAUUCCAAAUCCGUGUUGAUUCCAUCGUUUAAAAAUCGGUUCGAUCCACAUCGAUUACUAAAUAUGUCGGGUUCAGGUUUAGUCUGUUUAAAAAUUGGAUCGUUUAAAAAUGGGUUCGAUCCACAUCAAUUAGAUACGUUUAGUA